GCCAGUGUGGUGUAGUGGUCUGAGCACUGGACUAUAACUCUGGAGAUCAGGGUUCAAUUCUCCACUUAGCCA